CAAAGGCCUGGUCCUGACUUUAAUAUCAGUUUUAACCCAAAUUAUACAUGCAAGUACCCGCACCCCCGUGAGAAUGCCCCUAGUUUCCUUUCUAGGAAAAGGGAGCCGGCAUCAGGCACGCCCCCGCAGCCCAAAACGCCUUGCUAAGCCACACCCCCAAGGGAAUUCAGCAGUGAUUAACAUUAAGCCAUAAGCGAAAGCUUGACUUAAUUAGAGUUAACUAAGAGCCGGUAAAACUCGUGCCAGCCACCGCGGUUAUACGAAGAGGCUCAAAUUGAUGUUCUGCGGCGUAAAGCGUGAUUAAAGAAAAUGUAAACUAAAGCCGAACACCCCCUCAGCUGUCAUACGCAUAAAGAGGCAUGAAGCCCCACAACGAAAGUAGCUUUAACUCAAAAUCUUGAAUUCACGAAAAUUAAGAAACAAACUGGGAUUAGAUACCCCAUUAUGCUUAAUUGUAAACAACGAUGGAAACCUACAAGUACCACCCGCCAGGGAAUUACAAACACUAGUUUAAAACCCAAAGGACUUGGCGGUGCUUCAAACCCACCUAGAGGAGCCUGUCCUAUAACCGAUUAUCCCCGUUUAACCUCACCACUCCUUGCCAACUCAGCCUAUAUACCACCGUCGCCAGCUUACCCCCUGAGGGCACAAACAGUAAGCCAAAUGGGCCCUGCCCAGCACGUCAGGUCGAGGUGUAGCUUACGUAGUGGGAAGAGAUGGGCUACAUUUUCUGAAACAGCACAUCACGAAAGGUAUCAUGAAACAAGAUACAAUUGAAGGUGGAUUUAGCAGUAAAAAGAAAAUAGAGAAUUCUUUUGAAAUUGGCUCUGAAGCGCGUACAUACCGCCCGUCACCCUCCUUUAACUGCUAACACAAAAACUUUUAUAAAAUCUUAAUAAGCAAAAAAGGAGGCAAGUCGUAACAUGGUAAGUGUACCGGAAGGUGUACUUGGAUAAAAC
rnacentral:ncRNA from 1 species